GUGGUAGCUUUGGCAGCACCUAUACUAAAAUUGGAACAAUACAGAGAAGAUUAACAGGGCCCUGCACAAGGAUGACAUGCAAAUUCGUGAAGCACUUCAUAUUUUU
rnacentral:snRNA from 1 species